AGCCAUCGGAAUCGUUUGACAACAUCCGAGAUUUUGCUCAUUAACGAUCGGAUUCGGGAUCAUUGAAGUGAAGUCAUCCAUACUAUCAAACCCCCUUUUGGUACUCUUUUGGUUGAACUUUGGAUAUGGCAUGUAUAGGACUACCCUCGGUUGUUUUCAAGUACUUUGUGAUGUAUAUGUGUACGGCCAUGCGAAAAUGGUUCGUAAAAGUGGAGUACGGAAUUAGACCAUUUGUGGUUUGUAAUUUUAUAUGGUUUCAUGAUGUUAUUA